UCGGGGGUGCGGCGGAGCUCGGCCGGGACUGCGGGACCCCCGCGUGCCCCCUCCGUGGCUGCGGGGACCGGCCGUGCUCGGGACCCGUUAGGGGCGGGAGCCCUCGGCCGGCGGAGCCCCGGGCGUUGGGCGGCAGCGGGCCCUUCUCCUUCGCGCUCGGCACGGACCGGGGCGGGCGGAUCCCGUGCCGAGCCCGUCACGUGGCGGCGGGAGGCAGGAAAUGGUCCGUGAGCGGACGGAGCGUUACGGGCACGGUCAUUAACGGGGCGGCGUGUCUGCGUCACGGCCCGGGCUCGCGGCACGGCGGGUGACGAUUCCCCGUCGCCAAUUCACCGGGGGCGGAAUUUAAUGGAGUCUUAUUGAAAUCUGCGCUUCUCCAUUAAAUAACGCCGUGCCGGCAGUCCCGCGGCCGUGGCGCAGCCUGCGCGCCGCCUGCCAGGAGCGCUGCGCCUGCGGGAACGGCGGGGCUGGGAGCGGAGCGCGGGGUGCGGCGGCACGAGGCCGCUCAGAGCUGCCGAAAUGAUGGCGCUGCGUUUGGGCCACUGCUGAAAAUUACACGGCCUCCAGCUUGGCUUCAUGGAGCUGCUUUUGAGAUGCAGCGCCGAGAGCUCCUGGCAGGGAGCGCGGCCGGCAUGUAAUGCAAGUGCUCCUUUUCAGCGCUGACGCCAGCAGGCAGCGCGCCGGUCGGGCAGAGCUCUCAUUUCUCUUCCUCUGUUAAAAACAGAAUGCCGAGUCCAGCUAUCCAGAGCUCUGGAAGAAACGAGAUGCUAGUGGUGAGCCCAACAAUGGAUGCAGUACUUGAGGUGCUCCAAUCCUGUCCCCUUCUGAAGUGCCCCCAGUAACCCACCCUGCAGGUGUUGGAGUGUCUGCGCUCCCACAGCCCCUCCAGCUGCUGUUCUCUGUUUCCUCCUGCUGCUGGCUGCAGCUCACAGCCCAUGGUGAGCAUGGGGACACCCACUCUGCCUGUGCUGGAGGUGUCCUAUGGGGUUCCUCAGCUCUGCAAGGAGCCGACCAUUUGGGAACAUGUGGCUGUUUCAGGGCUGGGGAUAGAUCCUUCUCUGGGGACACCUCCAGUUGCUCCUUGGAUCGGCCGUGAACCCCCAGUGGGGGGCUGUGUGCCACCUCACAGUGAUUGCAGCCAUGGGACAACCACAGAGGCCCCAAGGAGCAGCCCUGCACAUUGCACCUGGGGCUGUGCCCAGGGCACAGGCAGGCUUCAACCCACAGCCUGGGAUGGAGACAGUCUGGGGUGCUGGGAGCUGCAGCCAGGGCCUGGGGCCGCUGCAGGCUGCCAACACAGCCCUCCAGCAAAGGAAUUUACCUACAGCAAAUAAUAGAGAGCACUCCGAAAAUAAUGAACAUCAGGUGGUGACCUAACUUGGCGUAAAUCUGGGUAUUAGAUUUACACUACUCUGAAAAGAAAAAAAGAAUAAAAAAGACUCUUUGCAAAAAUGAACACGGUAGAGGCAUUCUCCAUUCAUUAAAACAAGCAAGCAAGCAAGCAAGCAGAUUGCACUCUAUUUCAAAUUAGGGUAAGUUGUCCCUAAAUAACCAUUUGUGCAAGAAAGUCACCAGCUGCCUGCCAGGCAAAGCCAAGCACCCCUUGAAGCAAGGACUACAAAGCAUGCGGACCUGGCGGGGCUGCCCGAGGCAGG